CACAGGGUUUUAAUCUGCCCUGAAGUUUGUCAGAGAUUUAUUUGCAAAAACUUUGUGGUAAGGGCAAGUCAGUUGUCUUGCUGAAUCCAACAUUAAAUAUUAUGGCAUACAUGA